rnacentral:rRNA from 1 species
UACGUAGGGGGCGAGCGUUGUCCGGAAUUACUGGGCGUAAAGGGCGCGUAGGCGGCUUAAUAAGUCUGAUGUGAAAAUCCUGGGCUUAACCCAGGGCUUGCAUUAGAAACUGUUGAGCUUGAGGACAGGAGAGGAAAGCGGAAUUCCCAGUGUAGCGGUGAAAUGCGUAGAUAUUGGGAAGAACACCAGUGGCGAAGGCGGCUUUCUGGACUGCACCUGACGCUGAGGCGCGAAAGCCAGGGGAGCGAAC